rnacentral:rRNA from 1 species
UAACACGUGAGCAACCUGCCUUUCAGAGGGGGAUAACGUUUGGAAACGAACGCUAAUACCGCAUGACAUAUCGGUACCGCAUGGCACUGAUAUCAAAGGAGCAAUCCGCUGAAAGAUGGGCUCGCGUCCGAUUAGCUAGAUGGCGGGGUAACGGCCCACCAUGGCGACGAUCGGUAGCCGGACUGAGAGGUUGAUCGGCCACAUUGGGACUGAGACACGGCCCAGACUCCUACGGGAGGCAGCAGUGGGGGAUAUCGCACAAUGGGGGAAACCCUGAUGCAGCGACGCCGCGUGAGGGAAGAAGGUUUUCGGAUUGUAAACCUCUGUCCUCAGUGACGAUAAUGACGGUAGCUGAGGAGGAGGCCACGGCUAACUACGUGCCAGCAGCCGCGGUAAUACGUAGGUGGCAAGCGUUGUCCGGAAUUACUGGGUGUAAAGGGAGCGUAGGCGGGAAUACAAGUUGGAUGUCUAAUCUACCGGCUUAACCGGUAUUCGCAUUCAAAACUGUAUUUCUUGAGUGAAGUAGAGGCAGGCGGAAUUCCUAGUGUAGCGGUGAAAUGCGUAGAUAUUAGGAGGAACACCAGUGGCGAAGGCGGCCUGCUGGGCUUUAACUGACGCUGAGGCUCGAAAGCGUGGGUAGCAAACAGGAUUAGAUACCCUGGUAGUCCACGCUGUAAACGAUGAUUACUAGGUGU